rnacentral:misc_RNA from 1 species
GUAGGUGAACCUGCGGAAGGAUCAUUAUUGAAUAAACUUGAAAUGAGUUGUUGCUGGCUUUUAGAAGCAUGUGCACACUUAUUUUCAUUUUUAACCUCCCUGUGCACCUGUGUAGACCUGGAUAUUUCAAGAGAGGCAGCAAAUAAAUAUGCUCCACUUGGUUUGAGAAUUGUCGUGCUGCAAAGUAAGACUUUUCUUGUUUCAGGUUUAUGUUUUGAAUUUUACACCCCAUUGAAAUAUAUUAGAAUGU